rnacentral:rRNA from 1 species
UACGUAGGGGGCAAGCGUUGUCCGGAUUUAUUGGGCGUAAAGAGCGUGUAGGCGGCCAUACAGGUCCGUUGUGAAAACUGGAGGCUUAACCUCCAGACGUCGAUGGAAACCGUAUGGCUAGAGUCCGGAAGAGGAGAGUGGAAUUCCUGGUGUAGCGGUGAAAUGCGCAGAUAUCAGGAAGAACACCCGUGGCGAAGGCGGCUCUCUGGAACGGUACUGACGCUGAGACGCGAAAGCGUGGGGAGCGAACAGG